rnacentral:sRNA from 1 species
AAGGAAGGCUUUUUUACCAAGAACAGGAGCAGAGAUGGCGACGGUAGGCUUGAGAAGGAGAGCCGGACGAGCGGCGGAGACGGUGGAAGCGGAGGCAGUAAAGCUAGCCAUUUCUCUAUUUGCUUCCCCUAACGACUGAGAGACUCUUCAAUUGAUUUUUUGUUUGUUCUGUUUGUGUUCUACAGCAACAAGAACACUUUUAAUUUCUUUGCUUGUGUUGGCUUUUGGAUCAAACAUAAAUAUGUGGUGGAUAAAAAAUCUGUUCGAACCAACACAAGCCAUC